UGGGGAAUAUUGCACAAUGGACGGAAGUCUGAUGCAGCAACGCCGCGUGCGGGAUGACGGCCUUCGGGUUGUAAACCGCUUUUUCUCAUGACGAAGUUUUUUGACGGUAGUGGGGGAAGAAGCACCGGCUAACUACGUGCCAGCAGCCGCGGUGAUACGUAGGGUGCGAGCGUUGUCCGGAAUUAUUGGGCGUAAAGAGCUUGUAGGCGGUUUGUCGCGUCGAUAGUGCAAACUCAGUGCUUAACGCUGAGCCUGCUGUUGAUACGGGCAGACUAGAGGAAGGUAGGGGAGAAUGGAAUUCCCGGUGGAGCGGUGGAAUGCGCAGAUAUCAGGAGGAACACCGGUGGCGAAGGCGGUUCUCUGGGCCUUUCCUGACGCUGAGAAGCGAAAGCGUGGGGAGCGAACAGG
rnacentral:rRNA from 1 species